AGGAGGUGUGCUGGGGACAGGUCCUUUCUAUAGGGAAGAGGCAGGUGUUCAUGACAUCAGUGCAGUCCCUGUAGAUUCACAGUGAGUUGACCUCUUCCUCUUCCUGGGGAGCCACAGGUCAGCUCGUACCUAACAGAGGGUGAUUUGGCUGUGAGUGUGUGACUGGGGUCUUGUGCCAUCAGUGAGAGCAGAAGCUGGUUGCAAUGAGAUAGGGGAUUUGUGUUUCAGUGCUUGGAGUUUGAAGUGCAGAUGGAAGGAAUGGGCAGGCUCUGAGGUGAGGGCAUCUGGAGAGGAGUUAUUGAGAGAUGAUAAUGUCAAACCAAACUGCAGAGGGCCUAACGUGUAGAUCUGUAUCUCAGGUCUUUUAAAACUGAAUCCAGUCCUGACCAGUUCAUCACCCAGCUGUACAGCCUCCUCUGAAGGGAGCUUUCAAGUUGGGGACAGUGGCUCACUGGAUGAUGUCAGUGACAGAUGCAUCUUGUGAGAAUAAAAUGUGCUAAGGUUCCUUCUUCCUGCUCAGAAAGGCCCUCCAGGUCUUCCACAUCUGCUCUCAUGGUGAAAAUGACUUUCUCAUGAGUUCUAUUAUAUUUACAUACAUUUGGAGACCAGGAAUUUCCUUGAACUCUGCUUUGCUUCUGUUUAAGUGCACAACUCCCCCGCUUGGAAUCUUUCAAGAUACAGUGACCUCAUCAAAAUUAACAUUUGUCCUGUGAAAGCCUGUUAGGAGGAGGAAAACAGAAAUUACAGCAAUACAGAAAACAUUCACAAACCACCUGUUCAACAAAACGCUGGCAUCUAGAUCAC
rnacentral:lncRNA from 1 species